GACGAACGCUGGCGGCGUGCUUAACACAUGCAAGUCGAACGGAAAGGCCCUGCUUUUGUGUGGUGCUCGAGUGGCGAACGGGUGAGUAACACGUGAGUAACCUGCCCUUGACUUUGGGAUAACUUCAGGAAACUGGGGCUAAUACCGGAUAGGAGCUCCUGCUGCAUGGUGGGGGUUGGAAAGUUUCGGCGGUUGGGGAUGGACUCGCGGCUUAUCAGCUUGUUGGUGGGGUAGUGGCUUACCAAGGCUUUGACGGGUAGCCGGCCUGAGAGGGUGACCGGCCACAUUGGGACUGAGAUACGGACCAGACUCCUACGGGAGGCAGCAGUGGAGAGUAUGGCACAGUGGGCGGAAGCCUGAGACAGCAACGCCGCGUGCGGGAUGACGGCCUUCGGGUUGUAAACCGCUUUCGCCUGUGACGAAGCGUGAGUGACGGUAAUGGGUAAAGAAGCACCGGCUAACUACGUG
rnacentral:rRNA from 1 species